rnacentral:ncRNA from 2 species
CGACGUAUGCGUCGUCGAGGUUCUCCGGGCGUAUCAACGCGCGGAGCUAAGACGGGAAGCCGGUGCGGCCGCAGCCUCUUUCAGGGGCGUCGGGCCAAGGCCGGCGCUGCCCCCGCAACUGUAUGCGGCGAGCGGCGGCCGAUACGUGUCACUGGUGGCGGAAACGCUGCCGGGAAGGCCAGGCCGACCGCACCGACCCGUGAGCCAGGAGACCUGCCCCGACAGAUACCGUCCU